UUCACUCGAAUCUUCUUUCUCCCUCCCCGUGUCUCUGAAACCCAGAACUCCAAAAGUGAAGCGUCCCCAAUGGCUUCGUCCCCAUUGGCUUCGUCCCCAAUGGCUUACCGACGCCAUCUUAGUUGGUUCUGCCGGAUUUUUACCGCUGCCGUCCCCAAAAAGACAAGAUCUUUACCCCAAAAACCCCGUGAAGCGUCCCCAAUGGCUUCGAUUUGAAAUAAUUUGGCUUCGAAGGAAAAAAGCAUGGUGAAGCUUCGAAGAAAAAACCUUAUAGAUCUGAAUAAUUUGGCUUUCUUCAACGUUCUGAAAUAACAGAUCUGAAAGUGACUGAAAUACUUUGGCUUUCUUUCCCAUUCUCCAUCUCCAACAGAAGAGGGCGACUAUUGAUGAUGAAGAUUGAAGAAUGUUUUUUAUUUUUUUGGAUCUAUGUAAAAGUUGUAAUAAAUUGUAAAUUUUAAUGUUUGGAUAUUAAAUUUUGGGGUUUUUUGUGUGUUAGAUCUAUUUUUUUUUGUUUCAAAUUGUGUGUUAGAUCUAAAUUUUUUGUUUUCAAAUUGUAUACGAGGUUCUGUUCUUCUCUUUAUUUUUUCUUUCUUCUCUUUAUUUCUUUUGUGCGUCUCACAGAGAUGAUUGAAUCUGGAAUUUUAGUUCCAAAAAUAAUUUUUUUUUAUUAAAAUAGUGAUUUGCGUCGCACAUAGCCUAUUGUGCGACGCAAAUCACUAAUGUGCGUCGCACCCUUGGCAAUGUGCGACGCACAUUAUCUCUGCAUUACUCUGAAAUGGGCUGGGAUAGCCAUCUGCGUCGCACCGUAUACGAGGUGCGACGCAAAUAGAUGAAAAUGUGCGUCGGAUCUGCAUUCGACGCAGAUCAUUGAAAGUCAUUUGCGUCGAGGCCUGUGGCGUCGGACCCAUGUCCGACGCAAAUAGGCGCCUCACAUCCGACGCAAAUCGCCUAUUCUGUACUAGUGCAUGGAACAGUGCAUGUAGUCUAUUCAUAGGCGAUGAACAUUAGGUCAGUUUUCCUUUAUAUAGAAUCUUCUAUGUACACGAGCAUAAUGUAAUAAGAGCCGUAUACGUUAGUAUUAUUGCUCGGAUCACUUGUAAGGC